rnacentral:tRNA from 1 species
UCCUUGGUAGCUCAGUUGGUAAAGAAUCUGCCUGCAAUGCAGGAGACCCUGGUUCGAUUCCUGGGUCAGGAA